UCCGAAUUGGUGUAAUGGCUAACAUAUGUCGCUCUCAACUCAUCUGCACUCGUUGUGCAGAUGUUGGGAAGUGCCGACAUGCCCGGGGUUCGAUUCCCCGAUUCGGAG